UACGGGGGGGGCAAGCGUUGUUCGGAAUUACUGGGCGUAAAGGGCUCGUAGGCGGCCAACUAAGUCAGACGUGAAAUCCCUCGGCUUAACCGGGGAACUGCAUCUGAUACUGGAUGGCUUGAGUUCGGGAGAGGGAUGCGGAAUUCCAGGUGUAGCGGUGAAAUGCGUAGAUAUCGAGAGGAACACCGGUGGCGAAGGCGGCCAACUGGACGAAUACUGACGCUGAGGCUCGAAAGCGUGGGGAGCAAACAGG
rnacentral:rRNA from 1 species